AGGGGCUUAGUUCAGUGGUAGAACGUCGGUCUCCAAAACCGGAUGUCAGGGGUUCAAAUCCUCUAGCCCCUG
rnacentral:tRNA from 1 species